rnacentral:rRNA from 1 species
CGGACUGUCAGUGGCGAACGGUCGCGUAACACGUAGGCAACCUGCCCUAAAGUGGGGGAUAACAACCCGAAAGGGUUGCUUAAUACCGCAUGUGGCCAGUCUCUCGCAUGGGAGAGUGUCUAAAGGGACUCAGUGACAUGGGUCUCGCUUUAGGAUAGGCUUGCGGCCUAUCAGCUAGUUGGUGGGGUAACGGCCUACCAAGGCGUUGACGGGUAGCUGGUCUGAGAGGAUGGUCAGCCGGAUUGGGACUGAGAUACGGCCCAGACUCCUACGGGGGGCAGCAAUUAGGAAUCUUGCGCAAUGGGGGCAACCCUGACGCAGCGACGCCGCGUGAAGGAUGACGGCAUUCGUGUCGUAAACUUCUUUUAUCGGGGAAGAAACAGAUGACGGUACCCGAUGAAUAAGCCCCGGCUAACUACGUGCCAGCAGCCGCGGUAAUACGUAGGGGGCGAGCGUUGCCCGAAGUUACUGGGCGUAAAGCGCGCGUAGGCGGGUCUUUAAGUCUGGUGUGAAAGGUUCAGGGCUCAACCCGAACAGUGCACUGGAUACUGAGGACCUUGAGUUGGGCAGAGGAGAGUGGAAUUCCUGGUGUAGCGGUGAAAUGCGUAGAUAUCAGGAGGAACACCGAUGGCGAAGGCAGCUCUCUGGGCCCAUACUGACGCUGAGGUGCGAAAGCGUGGGGAGCGAACGGGAUUAGAUACCCCGGUAGUCCACGCCGUAAACGAUGAGUGCUAGGUGUCAGGGGUAUCGACCCCCCCUGGUGCCGGAGCUAACGCAUUAAGCACUCCGCCUGGGGAGUACGGCCGCAAGGUUGAAACUCAAAGGAANUNAACGGGGGCCCCNCACAAGCGGUGGAGUAUGUGGNUUUAAUUCGUCACUAACCGAANAACCUUACCCAG